UACGUAGGGGGCGAGCGUUGUCCGGAUUUAUUGGGCGUAAAGAGCUCGUAGGCGGCUUAGCAAGUCGGGUGUGAAAACUCCAGGCUCAACCUGGAGACGCCACUCGAGACUGCUAUGGCUAGAGUCCGGUAGGGGACCACGGAAUUCCUGGUGUAGCGGUGAAAUGCGCAGAUAUCAGGAGGAACACCGGUGGCGAAGGAGGUGGUCUGGGCCGGCACUGACGCUGAGGAGCGAAAGCGUGGGGAGCAAACAGG
rnacentral:rRNA from 1 species